rnacentral:rRNA from 1 species
GAUGAACGCUAGCUACAGGCUUAACACAUGCAAGUCGAGGGGAAACGACAUCGAAAGCUUGCUUUUGAUGGGCGUCGACCGGCGCACGGGUGAGUAACGCGUAUCCAACCUGCCCACCACUUGGGGAUAACCUUGCGAAAGUAAGACUAAUACCCAAUGAUAUCCCACGAAGGCAUCCGAAUGGGAUUAAAGAUUUAUCGGUGAUGGAUGGGGAUGCGUCUGAUUAGCUUGUUGGCGGGGUAACGGCCCACCAAGGCAACGAUCAGUAGGGGUUCUGAGAGGAAGGUCCCCCACAUUGGAACUGAGACACGGUCCAAACUCCUACGGGAGGCAGCAGUGAGGAAUAUUGGUCAAUGGGCGAGAGCCUGAACCAGCCAAGUAGCGUGCAGGAAGACGGCCCUAUGGGUUGUAAACUGCUUUCAGUCGGGAAUAAUUCGUCGGUCGUGACCGGCGUUGCAGGUACCGUCAUAAGAAGGACCGGCUAAUUCCCGUGCCAGCAGCCG